ensembl:lncRNA
CCAACCCAGACCUCUCCCUCCCACACAACUCCUUCCCCAACCCAUCUCCAACACCAACAGCCUGCAAACACCGCACUAAAGCCCUCAAGAGCUUAAAUUCACCUCCCUGCCCCACUGCUCACCUUCUGAGUUUGGUAUAGCCCUUGGCCUCCUGCACAAACACGGCCAGGAAAGGUUUCUGCCUCGUGGCUCUCAUCUAAUUACAUAGAGAUGAGAGGCGGGUGGUUCAGGACACAGUGCCAGGUUCCACAGGGACUGGCUGAACAAAUGUCAGCACAGAGCCAUAAGGCCAGCAUGGAAAUCAGGAGUAUUCAUAGGGGCAGGAGAAAGUCUGCAGAUGCAGUAUCUGCACUCAUUGUGGGCAUCAUCUGGCCCUCUAUGUAGUAUUGAAGCAGACCUAAAGAAAAAAAAAAGAUAAAAUUGCUAAUUUUGGUGAAAACUGCAGAUCUCCAGAAUAGCUUCAAGUCAGGAGAGGGGGAAUGUGCAAACUGAGGAUUUUGAGUAAAGGCCUUGCCCCAGUCCUACCUGGGAUGACCUUGCUGCAUGGCAGCAGGAAAGCAGCCUGGGAACAAUGGCAGUGCUUGAUUUUUCCACUAGUAGGGAAAUUCACUGCUCCCCUGGGAGAUUUCCCAUGGGGAAAGGAAGGGUUAGAAAUGCUUUAGAAAUACAAAAAGGGAUUAUGGUGUCCAACCCCUGCAUUUAAUGUUAAGUGGCUCUUCAAUUUAUACUCAUCACCUACUCUUUGUAAAAUUCUUGGCAUUCCAAACAUUUUCCUUUUUCUAUAGCUCCAGUUAAAACCCAUAAAAAGUUCAGAGGUAUUUCUAACCCUGGAGAUACCAGAACAAGCUGUCUCAGUGACCCCAAUCAAGUGCUAGGCUCCAAGGUUUCCUCAGCAGGUCCCUCCUGGCCGACAAAUCUCAGUCUUCAGUUAACCCAGAGAAAGGUCAGCCAAGUCAUCAAACGUUUCAAAGCACAAUUAAGAUCCCAAAUGAGCAAAGUGAAAGUUUAAUGCUGAAACUUCACUGCCAGUUGAUGCUCAGUGAUUACAAUGGUCACUUGAAAUACCAUCAGCAGAAGCACCAUGUGUGUUAGGAACCUGUCCCUGCUGAUGUGCAUUAGUGAGACUUUUAGCAAGGCAAACAACCUUGCUGUAAUAUGAUUGAGAAAAAAUCAGAAAUAUUAAAUUAAAAAUUAAAAUUUUAAUUGAAAAUUUAAAAAAAGUAAUUCAGGCUGUAGCUGUCAGAGAGAAAAAACACGUUGAGUCUGAAAAUCUGAAGAAUUUAGAGGUGAUGUGUUUCAAGUCCCUUAGAAGAAUUCAGCUCCCAUACAAGUGUGGUUGACCAGAAAAAGUCAUAAAUUAACUCUUCAUCCCAAGAAUAUAGCAUUUAAAGAUAUAUCAAAGGUCCAAAGGGACAAGAAAGGUCACAAAUUCAAAAAUACCAAAUAAUUUCUUUCAUUAGAAAGCUGAAAUUUUAUAAAUAAAAUCCUAUUUCCCUAUGUUAUGAAAUUUUUGCAACAUCUUAUAUUUAAGGUUAAAACAAAAAGGAAGCACAAAGUCAAAACUAAAUUACAGAAAGUUUGAGCCAGGUUUUUGAACAUUAGAGUGAACAGGCAACAAAAAUUUUCAUCUGAAGGAAUCUACAUUCCUUUAUUGUGUUGGAUUUGAACAAAGCCCAUAUUUUCCAACAGCAAAAUAAUUUCUGGGAACCUCUUCACUGCCAUCCUACUCAUGCCUGGCUAGGCUUGAUUCCAGAGGAAUGGCACUGGACACUGUGGUAUGAGGAAGGGUGGAAAAGCAAAGGAUGGAGGGAGACUUUAAACUAGGGUCUAUCAGUUUGAAAAAGGAAGGGCAAAACAAACUUCAGGCUUUUCCUGUCCUGUCUAAACAAAUGGCAUAAGGAAAAUCACCAGCAGCCAUGUCAGAAAAUUCACUUAAGAGCCAACAGUGAAGGCAAAAGGAAAUUCGAGCUUUGCUAACACUGUUCCUAUUGAUGGGAAAUGGAGAAAAUGCCUAUGCAGACAAUUGAGUUUUGCCCCUUUUUGGCAAGACAAAAAUCUGGUGAAUUUAUUCCAUGUUCUCACAUAUGUAUUUAAAAAAUGAUAACUCUCAGCUCAAAUGCCACCUUGAUAUAUUAGCUAUCUACUUCCAUUUUAUUCAUCUUCAUAUUGGUGCAGGAUAUGAAUGUGUAAUCUAAGUCAUAACAAAGGUUUCUCUGUGGUAGUAAGAGGUGUCAUUAUCAGACAUUACAUGGCAGUUUAUAAUGCCAGUGGAAUAAUUUUGCAUCAAUGUUACAAUUAAAUUCUUGAUAGAAAAAGAUGUUAUGGGAAGUAAUUACUUCUCUUCCCCCCCCCCCCCCCCAGCUAUUAAACUUUAAUAGCUUAGAUAUGAUUUCAGGUUUCCUAAAAGACACGUUGGCAUAGAACUUCAUUCUGUAAUUCCUAUAUUUUAGCAGCCUGAAUAAAGCAAAAUUAUCUAGAACAUACUCACUCUUUCAUUAUAGACAACAAGUGAUGCAAAAAAAAAAAAAAA